UCCGGCGUCGCCCAAAUGGCAGGGCAGCGCACUGUUAAUGCGUACAGGUGCAGGUUCGAGCCCUGCCGCCGGAG
rnacentral:tRNA from 1 species